AGGGGUAUAGCUCAGUGGUACAGCUCAUGCUUAGCAUGCACUUAGGUCCUGGGUUCGAUCCCCAGUACCUCCG
rnacentral:tRNA from 1 species